GAUUAAUAGACAAAUUAAAAAGUCUUAAAUUAACCCAAAUUAUGGUUAUCUACAUUACAAUAUAAAUUGUAUGGUUAUUAAACAAUAAAUUUAUGUUAAUAAAAAGAACUAAGUUAGUUUUAGACGAUACUAAUAUGUGAUAUCUGUAUGAUCAAUAUUUAUUUAUUCAGUCAAAAAGUUAAGUUAUAUUUUUUAAAAACAAAAUAGAAUAGAUUUAAUGAAAUGUAAUAGUUUAAAACAGAUAGGUAUAAUAGAAAGCUCAUAAAUUACUUGUACAUCAAAUUUAUUUAAUCUCAAAAUGAUAAAGAAAUAAUAAACAAAUUAAAUAAUCUUACUAGAUUUACUAGACGCUAAGACAUACUUUUAAUUUAAUGAUGAUAAAUAAAACGAUACGUUUGUGCAUAACAUAUGUACACACAUUAUAUCACAAAUUUACGUUUGCAUAUUAUUUAAAAUAUUGUUUUAAUAUUUUUAGCAGUCAAUAUAAAUGUUUUCAAAAUAAAAUUUUAUUUUUUUGGUUAUGAUUCAUGCUUAUAAUUGUAAUAUUUUAAAAGCCUACAAUUUAAUAAUUCUUAAUUUUUGUAAGUCAAUUAUCUAGAAAAUAUGGAUUUUAAAUAUUCAAUAUUGUGUUUAUUUAAGCCAUAUUUGUAUAAAUUACUAUCUAGUCAUUACUAUUAAGAAUCAAUAUUUCUGAACAAAUUGUACUGAAUAUUAUAGCAAGAAUGUCUUUGUUUAUUGGAUAAUUUAAAUUGAGUUGAAAAUUAUCAUCAAUUAUAUCUAACUAGUAAUAUUUUAGUGGUUUGUUAUAAUAAUUUAAUAAUUUUUUUUUUUUUAUUAUAAAACAUAAUAAAUUAGGUAUGGUAUUAUAUUUUAUUUUGGUAGAUAGGUACCUAAAUACUUUUGCCGAUAAAAAUCUUAAUAAUUAGCAACCAAAAAUAUGACUUAUUGUUGAACAAUUAAAAGCUGUUUUUUUUUUUAUUAAUUUCUAAUCUAAAAAGAUAUAUUAGGUACCUAUUAUAUAUAAAACAUCAGUGUUUAAAUUGAGAUUUUGAAAUUUAUUUCUCAAUACAUGCAAUUUUAAUAUUUAUUAAUAUUAUGUAGAUUUAAAAUGUAAAUCUAUAUAUUAUGAAGUAAAUACAAAACAGUUUGAUAUUGCCUACUGUUUACUAUGUUAUGAUGCA